rnacentral:rRNA from 1 species
UCGAGGAUCUUCGUCAAUGGGCGAAAGCCUGAACGAGCGACGCCGCGUGCGCGAUGAAGGCCUUCGGGUUGUAAAGCGCGAAAGUGGGGAAGAAAGCUGAAAGGUUUGACCGAUCCACAGUAAGCUCGGGCUAAGUUCGUGCCAGCAGCCGCGGUAAGACGAACCGAGCGAACGUUGUUCGGAAUCACUGGGCUUAAAGGGCGCGUAGGCGGGCAUCAAAGUCUGUGGUGAAAUCCGGCAGCUUAACUGUCGAAUUGCCGUGGAUACUAGGUGUCUCGAGGGAGGUAGGGGCAUGCGGAACUAACGGUGGAGCGGUGAAAUGCGUUGAUAUCGUUAGGAACUCCGGUGGCGAAGGCGGCAUGCUGGACCUCUUCUGACGCUGAGGCGCGAAAGCCAGGGGAGCAAACGGGAUUAGAUACCCGGGUAGUCC